CUGGGAAAGCGCCAGCGGGUGAGUCGCCCUCACACCAAGAUGGCGGAGCGGGGAGGCCAGGAGGAGCGGAGGCUGCAGGAGCAGCAGCGACAAGAGCGAGGUCCGGGCCAGCGGUGGUGUUAGAGCGGCUGGGCACCGACACGACACGAUAGGGGAGCGAACAGAAUUCUUCGCAGCGCUUUUCUGCAGGGUAAAAUCUACCGGCGGGAAGCGGAGACUGGGAGUGAGCCGGACGCUCAGCCGCCGCCACCAGAGGAGGAGGAGGAGGCGGCUCGUUUGCGAGGUCGGGGAGGGAAACCUAUAACCACACAUACACGUCCCUCCCACCUGGGAGGCCUGUCCGCACGCCGGCCCUUGGGACAGGAGCGGAAAAAGAAAAGCCCAGGCUGGAAGGCAACCCGCUUUCGUAUGAAUUCCGCCGAGGCCAGCUCGGAGUGUGCGCCACCAGAGGCGAACGCAAGGUCGUAAACACAGUAGAGUUGCUACAAUUAGUUGGACUAGGGAGUUCUGAUCACAUACGUUUACGCAGACAAGACCAGAAUACCUCAGAUCGGCUCUCCAGAUGGUGAAGUUAUUGCACAGGGAGAACCUCUAGCAAAAAACCACACAGCAAGCCGAAUG